rnacentral:rRNA from 1 species
UACGAACCGUGCAAACGUUAUUCGGAAUCACUGGGCUUAAAGCGCGUGUAGGCGGGACGGCACGUCGGUCGCUGAAAUCCCCCGGCUCAACCGGGGAAUGGGCGCCGAUACGACCGUCCUGGAGGAACGUAGGGGGACCUGGAACUUCCGGUGGAGCGGUGAAAUGCGUUGAGAUCGGAAGGAACGCCCGUGGCGAAAGCGAGGUCCUGGACGUUUUCUGACGCUGAGACGCGAAAGCCAGGGGAGCGAACGGG